CCUGCUACGUCAUCACAUUUUAACCCAGUUUCUCUUCUGUUAAUGGCAGGGGCACGAGUGGCCCAAAAAUAUAACGUUAAGAGUACUUUUGGAAAAAAAAUUAGUUUAGGGUGCAAGUGGGACAUCGGGUAAAUAUCAAGGGCAUUUUUGACCUUAAUAGCAUUUUGCAAAGGGCCCAUUUUUUUUUGUCGCUUUAGGCCCUGAAAAACUCAUGGCCGACCCUGGAUGGUGUGUGGUGGGUGAUGGGUGGUGGUUGAUGGAUGGUGGUGGUAGUGAGUGGUAGUGGGUGGCGGUGGUGGUGGUUGGGUGGGUUGUGAAAUCCCAGAUUUUAUGAAUAAAGAUUUAAAUUUAUCGAAAUAUUUUUUUGAAUAUUAUGGUGUGGAUUUGAUAUUAUGUUAUAGUUGUGGGUAGUAUUUAUAAAUUUUUCAAAGUAUGCAAGUUGUUAUAAAAUAUUCGAUUGGUCGGGGAAUAUUCUUUUUAUCGGGAAAUAUUCGUACGACGGCACAAUCAUUGGUGGACCCCACAACGGAAGUAUUAUCGUAGUUAGAAAAUGACAGAAUUAUCUUUUUAUAAAAAUAACGGCGGAAGUGUUACCGUUAAAACUGUUGAACUACUCGGUAGUAAAAGUACAGUAAUACGCGUGGUUGCAUAGUAGCACACGGUAUUGAUUAUUGAUGCUUACGUAAGAAGUCACUAAGUUAUA
rnacentral:lncRNA from 1 species